AUUGAACGCUGGCGGCAGGCCUAACACAUGCAAGUCGAGCGGAUGAAGGGAGCUUGCUCCUGGAUUCAGCGGCGGACGGGUGAGUAAUGCCUAGGAAUCUGCCUGGUAGUGGGGGAUAACGUCCGGAAACGGGCGCUAAUACCGCAUACGUCCUGAGGUAGAAAGUGGGGGAUCUUCGGACCUCACGCUAUCAGAUGAGCCUAGGUCGGAUUAGCUAGUUGGUGGGGUAAAGGCCUACCAAGGCGACGAUCCGUAACUGGUCUGAGAGGAUGAUCAGUCACACUGGAACUGAGACACGGUCCAGACUCCUACGGGAGGCAGCAGUGGGGAAUAUUGGACAAUGGGCGAAAGCCUGAUACAGCCAUGCCGCGUGUGUGAAGAAGGUCUUCGGAUUGUAAAGCACUUUAAGUUGGGAGGAAGGGCAGUAAGUUAAUACCUUGCUGUUUUGACGUUACCAACAGAAUAAGCACCGGCUAACUUCGUG
rnacentral:rRNA from 1 species